rnacentral:rRNA from 1 species
UACGUAGGGUGCAAGCGUUAAUCGGAAUUACUGGGCGUAAAGCGUGCGCAGGCGGUCCGUUAAGACAGAUGUGAAAGCCCCGGGCUCAACCUGGGAAUUGCGAUGAAGACUGCAAGGCUUGAAUCUGGCAGAGGGGGGGUAGAAUUCCACGUGUAGCAGUGAAAUGCGUAGAGAUGUGGAGGAACACCGAUGGCGAAGGCAGCCCCCUGGGUCAAGAUUGACGCUCAUGCACGAAAGCGUGGGGAGCAAACAGG